ACUUCUGACUUCUUUGUCCAAGAUAUAACAGCAGUUGGAACAGUGGAAAACACUGUUCCAGAGUUCCAUUCAUGAUUGCCCACAAGUUAAUUCAUCAGUCAAGACUUACGCUUUGGGGGAAACAGACAAAGCAACAGCGGCUACAAGCAUAUGUAGCUUUACAAAGGCAACUGGCAAUCAACAGCAGUGUGCAAUAAUAAAGGGUUAGUGGAAGAUGAUGCAUUUAGAAUGAAGAAUCAUUAAAAUAAACAGCUCCUGCUUGGUUUAGUGAGGGAUGAUGCACAUAAAACCAAGCAUCACGCAGAUAAACAAAAGGAAAAAGCUCAGACAUCCCAUCAUCUUCCAAAAACCCUCACACCCUGUCCUCAUCACUGUGAAGGCUCCUUCAAAGCAACCCCAACUAUCCAAGAUUCCACUAUCAAAUCAACAAUGACAGAAGAGCUUUGCUAGGUGUGCCAUAAUAUUAUUUGAUUGCAUUCGGGUUGGUGUAUGGCUAAAGGUUCUGAGUGAUGUUGUAUUUCUU